CCAAUUAAAAGCACAUUGGUCACGUGAUUAAGUAGGAUAGAAUUCAUGUUUUCUUAAUUGUUGUUAGUUUUAGGAUAUUUUAUAUUUAAUGUUGAUUAGCUUUUAAUCUUUUUAAUUAAGUAUUGAAAUUUAAUAGCUUUAAUUAUGUUUAGAUAUUUAUCUAUUGCAUUGAUGAAUUCUGCAUUUUUUGGUUUUAUUGCGUUUAGACAGUUUAAUCUCUGAUUGUGUCGUUUGACUUGUCUUCACUUACUAUCCGUUCAAUUUAAUGUUUUCAUGCACUUUAAUGUUUUUUUAUUAUCUUCGGUUGUGUCUAAUUUCCAUGCAUUUUAAUUUAGUUUAAUUCUCAUCUCAAAACACUUUCAACCCCCCCUUUUCGUGUGAGGCCUGAUUCUCGAACCACGGUUUGGUCCUUGAGAGACGACCUAGGAGUCAUUUCCUAGCUAUACUGCAUUUCUCAUAUGCAAUCAAAUUUGUUUGGGCGGCGACACCCAUCAACCCCCAACAACUCCAUUCAUCCACUGUUUUGUUCUUGUUAAUUGAAUCAAUCUCUUUUUCAUGUUCAUAUUUUAUUCUCACAAUCAAUUAAUUAAUUUUUCUUUUCAAGUCUUAUGAUUUUAAUUCACACGAACGAUAAGGCCUUUCGAGUCUCUUGGGAAAACGAUACUUGGUCUUACCAUUUAUUAUUACUUGAUACG
rnacentral:lncRNA from 1 species